GUGGGUUAUAUGUACGCCAAGAUAGCGGUAACUAUAGAAACGGGGUAUAAAGUGGAGUUGUUAAGGGUAUAGGAAAAGUUGUCAUUGGCUUUGUUGUGAUGCAUUACUCUCAGAACUUUACACUUAGUAAUGUUUAGUUUCAUGAGCCACUUAUCGCACCAGUUAGAAACAAUGCCAAUGUUGAACUGCAAAGUAGAAGCGUCGUGUGGGUUAUGAAUGACACGAUAAAGCGCGCAAUCGUCAGCGAAAAGCCUAAAUGUGGAAAUAAUACCGACAGGCAAAUCAUUAAUCUAGAUAAUAAAUAGUAAAACCGAACCCUGUGGUACGCCUGAUGUAACAGCAACGGUAGGAGAGUUAAAAUUAUUAGCGUGAACGUACUGUAGUCGGUUAGUUAGAAAAUAUUGAAUCCAGUCUAGGAUGUUAGGAUCUAUACUGGGCUUGCUCAUCUUAAGAAGAAGAGUAUGCGAAACAGUGUCGAAGGCUUUGGCGUAAUUUAAAAGCAUGCAGUCUGUUAUGAAAUUAUUGUCGAAAGCACGAAAAAGAUCUUUAGU
rnacentral:lncRNA from 1 species